rnacentral:tRNA from 1 species
GCUGAUGUAGCUCAGUAGGCAGAGCGCUCGCCUCGUAAGCGAGAGGUCGUCGGUUCGAAACCGACCGUCAGCA